ACUUGCCUGGCUUUCUCUCGGUCAGCGGAUCCAGCCCUCCACGGCGCUGCAGCGUUUGCACCGUCCCACCAAGAAGAAGACGGAGGAGCAGAAGUCAAAAAGAGUCAAGCGGAGGAGCAUCUAUUUAUGGUCCGCCGUCUCCAUCCAUAUAGGGUUAACUCAAGGACUCCAGGCCUCUUGUAAAAAAGCAACACAACCCAUCCACUCCGAACACCCUCACCUGCUUAUUAAAGGCAGCGUCCGCCCGUCUGAAGCUUCCAGGCAAACUACCAGCUCUGUUUGAUUAUGACUUCUCUCAGAAAGCCAUCCUUCCGACAGCAGGUUUUUUGGUUUUUUAUCCCUGGGCUUCCUUUUCCUGUAUUUACAAGCCAGGAACUUCUGUACAGCCAAGGUUUAGGGCCCGAGUUCUCCUUUUAAGACGGAAAGUGCCAAAGGAAAUCUCAGAAAUGUCCAGGGAUGGGUGUGAGAGAGAGCAAGAGCAAACACAGAGAGAGAGAGGAGGAGGAGGAGGAGGAGGAGGAGGAGGAGGAGGAGAAGAAGAAUUUCUUAUUCUGCUGAAGCAAAACCAACCAAGAGUCUUGUGGCGUCAGAAGGAAAAUUGCUGAAGACUGUCAGAUUUUGGGGCUUAUCUACUUGCCUGUUAUCAUAAAAGAACAGGAAGGAGGUCACCGAAUAACACAAACUGAAAUAUGUCCCAGAGAAAGCUUUCAAAACAUUGGGGGGAAAAAAACUUCCAGUGAAACGUACGAAAAAAGCACCAAGCAUUUGUUGACUGACUCAAGGACUGCAACACGGGGAAGUGGGGAUGAGUUUGUUUCUCAGCCAAACUUCCACACUGGGGCACCAAAUUCAGAGAAUCGUAGGACUGGAGAGGAUCCCAAGGGUCAUCAAGCCUGACCCCCCAACAAAGAAAGAAAUUGGCAUCUAUGAUAGAUGGCUAUCCAAUCUCUGUUUAAAAUUUGAGAAUCUAUGACAGCUCUUACUGUCAGGAAGUUCUUCCUAAAAUUUAGACCUUCCUUAGUAAUUUGAAUCCUUCCCUCCAGCUCCUUUUUCUGGAGCUUUAGAAGACAAGCUCGUCGCAUCUUCCCACAAGAGCUCUUUAAAUAUUCCAAGAUGGCAGCCCUACCACUGUUUGCUUUGCGUGUC
rnacentral:lncRNA from 1 species